CCUUGGAAAGAUAAGGCUCUGGCAGUGGUGAGCAAAGAGAGGAGGGAGUUCUUGGUUGCUAACAGCAGCCCUGGACUGGAAUCUGUCAGCAGCAUGACAGGACUUGAAGGGUUUUACAGGCAGGCAUGAUGGUGUUUAUCCAGAGUGUCAGACAGAAACCACUGCGCCGACCCCAUGUGACUAAUGAGCCCAGGCAGAUGCGCAGGAAGAAACUCUCAGCAGACAGAGAAAACAGAACCCCAAACAAGUAAACAAAAAAACCCACCUUCCCUGUUUUCUUAGUUGUUUCCUUCAUUUGUCCUCAAAUGACAUUCUUAUGUGUAACCCAAAAGCAAAAGAGAAGCAGAACAUUAGCUUUGGAGAGAAAAACCUAAAAAAGUAAAACCGUGGGUUGAAACAUCAUUUCAAAAUGUCCUGGGAUGAUAAUUAGACAUGCUUUAGUAGAGAGGUACAGACUCAAAAAUACAUGAUUUCCAUUUUCAAGGAAAAACAAUGAUUCAAAAAAAAAAAAAUUAAAUGAGUUGUUUGCAUUUACCUUAAAAAUUAGUCUUUUUGGUGGUGUUUUAAAAAUUUUAGUACCAUCCCUGUUGAUAUAGUAAUUUGUUAAUAAUAAAGUUCUAAGAUUUGUGAAUGGCUUAGUUGGUGAAAAUGAGUGGAGCACAUUAGAGGUGAUUCAGUAGUGACACUACGGGCUGGGGUGGGUGUGGCUCCAUGGUGGACUGCUGGCCUUGGAUGUGCAAGGUCUUGGGUUUGAACUCUAGCACUGCAUAAGAAUAAAAAAAUGGUGUUACUCAUUUGCAUUCUGAUACUGCCUUGGGUGGAUCAGGGAGGUAGAUUCCAUUAGGGAAUGAGAAAGGAUCCUCAGUGUGAGCUUGUCCAUGGGAGGGCAUGAGCUUGUGAAAGUCCAGUCACACAUGUGCUGGAAAAGUAUCAGGAGCCACUACUUUGGAGGCUAUGCUUACAUGAGCUGCAGUAACUACAAUAUUGUUAUUCUUGAAUUUAAAGUAGAUAUUAUGAAUAGCAAAUUGUUUUUAUGUAGUAACUUCACUUUUGCAGCAAAAUUAAUUGAAAACCUCAUAACAGGAUAAAUAAUAAUUUAAUCAAUGCAGUCACAUCAACACACAUCUGGCAAAUUGGAAAGUCGAAGGAGCCUUUCAGAUAUUGUAAGAGAAGAGAACGAAAAUUGUCUUUAGUGUCUAGCAUUUCAGGAAGGUAUUGGUUUCUAAAUCUAUUUUGUUUGGAUUGGAAGUUUUUGUUUUUUUGUUUAUUUUUGGUGUUUUUCUAGUUCUCAAAGUUUUAUCAGAUAGAAAUAUGUUCAAACAUCAAGCAAAAUGGAAGCAAAAGUUUGCAACAAAGGAAACAAAGGGAAAAAUUGCUGUGAAUAAUUUAGAUUCAAUGAUCAGUGACUCUUACCAGCUUGUCUGAAGACAUUGUAGUUAAAGAUUUUCUAUAUAAAUCAAAACAUUUGUAAUGUACCUUACUAUAUACCUUGAAAGCUGGCCUAUCAUUCAGCUAGACAACUGUGUGAAUUUACUACAAGAUUUCCAACCCCUCCACCCAACUGGUGUCACCGUCUUGAAACAUGUACUGAAAUAAUAUCAGAAUAACAUCAGACCUUUGGAGUGAGUCACACCCCUUCAUGCAGAAUCAGCUACAAUAAAGAGCCUGGGUCCAGGCCUCACUGUUCAGAUUUAAGAAGGAGGAAUGUCAGCUAAAAGCAAGUUCUGAAGUUCUGAAGAAACUUAUUUUUGUGGCAUUCCUUUGGAGACAGAAGGGCACAGUGUUUAUUGAGAUACAAAUCCCAAAUUGGGGUAGAUGGUGCUCACCAGUGCCUUGGCACAGCGUUCCAUCCAGGUAGACUGGAAGCAUUAUCUCCCCUUUAUUCCAGAUGUCUCUCUGAGUCUUCUUAGAAUUCACAACGUUUGCCUAGGAGAGUAUUCCAAGGAACCAAAUAAACAUAAAUGAGUGAAAGCAUCUAGUUAAUAGUCUGUCUGCCCUGACCUUAUCCAGCACCUCAUCCACCCAGAAUGAUCCUAAGACCCAAGAUACUUCCCUCCUGUACGGGAGGAUGCAAAAAAGGAAUCAGCUGGAAAAAAAAAAAAAAGUAAAAAUACUGUUGAAAAUUCAUAUGCAAGCCAUUUUUACAUCACAUUCCUUAACAACUAUUCAUUAUGGAGAAUUCAUCUUUUACCAAAUGGUUAAGGAAGUACUCAUAUAUUUAUUGCCAGUUUUAUUAUAACAAUGGUACACUGCUUAUGUUUAAUAUAUACUGUUUAAAAUGUAUAAUACAUUGAGUCACAGAACAGUUCAAAUUUUUUUUCUGUUUAAAACAACUUUUAUUUUUGGUGAAAAAAAUGCAGAUUCAUUAUACAGAAAAUAAAUGUUUA